rnacentral:rRNA from 1 species
GAUGAACGCUGGCGGCGUGCCUAAUACAUGCAAGUCGAGCGAACGGACGAGAAGCUUGCUUCUCUGAUGUUAGCGGCGGACGGGUGAGUAACACGUGGAUAACCUACCUAUAAGACUGGGAUAACUUCGGGAAACCGGAGCUAAUACCGGAUAAUAUUUUGAACCGCAGGGUUCAAAAGUGAAAGACGGUCUUGCUGGCACUUAUAGAGGGAUCCGCGCUGCAUUAGCUAGUUGGUAAGGUAACGGCCUACCAAGGCAACGAUGCAUAGCCGACCAGAGAGGGUGGUCGGCCACCAUGGAACUUGGGCAAGGUCCCGGCUCCUACGGGAGGCAGCAGUAGGGAAUCUUCCGCAAUGGGCGGAAGCCUGACGGAGCCCCGCCGCGUGAGUGGUGGAGGUCUUCGGAGCGUAAAACUGUGUUAUUAGGGAAGAAAAUAUGUGUAAGUAACUGUGCACAGCUUGACGGUACCUAAUCAGAAAGCCACGGCUAACUUCCGG